GUAAUGAUAAUGGACUUCCUUGCUUCAUUUUCCAUCUCAGGAUGGACAGUGUUCAACCUUCUAUGACUAAUUACAGCCAUGCUGUAGGCUUUUCAUAGAUACCCUUUUUUUUUGACUCAGGAAUUACAUUCUCUUCUUAUUCCUGGUUUGCUAAACCUUUUGUAUUAAUGGUGUCAACUAUGAAUAUAUAUUGCAUUUCAUCAAAUACUUUUUUUCUGCAUCAAUCAAUACGAUUUAUCUUUCUUCUGUUAAUAUGGUGAUUUACAUUAAUUUGUCUUAGAAUGUUCAUUUCUUUCAGGUCCUUGCUGAUUUUUUUGCCUGCCUUUUCCAUUAGUUCCUGAGACAAGCAUUUUAAAACCAAACAACAUAACUGAGGAGCUGUCUGUCACCCUUCGUGAUUCUGAAAACACGUGCUGCAUGUGUUUUGAGCAUAAAAUUGGAUGUUCCUUUGAAACAACAGCAGUCAGAAGUCCAUGAGGAGGUGUCUUCUGACUGCGAGGAUAAGGGUGGAUCACCUUAAUGCAAUCAGGGAAUGAUGUGUUAGAAGCAUCUAUAGUUCCUGCUUCCCCUAAUUUCUAGCUGUAGCCAUUUGAAGAUUCUAAGCAAGUCCUCAACUGUUCAGCAGAGCCUCUGGUCCAGCAUGAGACCAAAACCCAGGCUCCCAGUUUCUCCGCCUGUGCUGAGACCUUGUUUCCCAGGACCUCGGUGGACUUGGCUUUCAUGACUGGUGCCUCACCCCAGCACAUGUGCCUAAAAUAACAGAAAAAUACAGUGCCUGCAUGUUGGGAGCAAGCCCCCCAAAGUCUGGCCCCAAAACUGGCCAUAAAUAAAAUCUCUGCAGCAAUGUAACAUGUCCAUAAUGGCCAUAAAGCCCAAGCUGGAAGGUUGUGGGUUUACAGGAAUGACGGUAAGGAACACCUGGCCCGCUCAGGGCGGAAAACUGGUUAAAGGCAUUUUUAAGCCAUAAACAAUUAGCCUGAGCGAUCUGUGCCUUAAGGGCGUGUUCCUGCUGCAAUUAAUUCAGCCCAUCCCUUCGUUUCCCUUAAGGGAUACUUUCAGUUAAUUUAAUAUCCAUAGAAACAAUGCUAAUGACUGGUUUGCUGUUAAUAAAUAUGUGGGUAAAUCUCUGUUCGGGGCUCUCAGCUCUGAAGGCUGUGAGACCCCUGAUAUCCCACUUUACACCUCUGUAU
rnacentral:lncRNA from 1 species